rnacentral:snRNA from 1 species
ACCCCAAUCACCCAAUGCACUCUGGGACUACCACAAAUGAUACACUGUGUUCCCUACAUUUGGGAAAUCACAGGGGUCGACAUAUCAAGGGUGCAAUGGACAAGCUCUAUGCUGGGAAAACCGCCUUCAUGAUCAUGGCAUCUUUUCUGCCAGGCAAGUGU